rnacentral:lncRNA from 1 species
AUUCAAGGCUGCCCCUGUCUUUCAGUGGUGUGUUAUUUGAACAUUAUUUAGUAGUAGUUAUUCAAUUUGCCUUUGUUCCCAUAUUAUUGAAUAUAAUCUUUUUUUACUAUAAUCAAUAAACUAAUAGUUCAUUUUUGGAUGUUCUAGACAUCAAUGGAAUCUAUGCGGGUAGAACAUGUUGCUGAACGCCCCUGGUAUCGCUUCUCAGCCUUUGGAUAGUUC